rnacentral:rRNA from 1 species
AUCCUGGCUCAGAAUCAACGCUGCGGCGUGCCUAACACAUGCAAGUCGAACGCGAAAGCCCCGCAAGGGCAAGUAGAGUGGCAAACGGGUGAGUAACACGUGGGUGACCUGCCUUCGAGCGGGGGAUAACGUCCCGAAAGGGACGCUAAUACCGCAUAACAUCCUGCCUUUGAAGAGGUGGAGAUCAAAGCUGGGGAUCGCAAGACCCGGCACUUGAAGAGGGGCCCGCGUCUGAUUAGCUAGUUGGUGGGGUANCGGCCUACCAAGGCAACGAUCAGUAUCCGGCCUGAGAGGGCGGACGGACACACUGGGACUGAGAC